rnacentral:rRNA from 1 species
GGAGGCAUCUCCUGGCUGGUAAACGGUGGCGAAAGCUGCUGCUCGGGGAGGAGGUUGCGGGCUAUCAGCUAGUUGGUGAGGUAACGGCCCACCAAGGCGAUGACGGCUACCGGGUCUGAGAGGACGGUCCGGCACACUGGGACUGAGAACUGCCCAGACUCCUACGGGAGGCUGCAGUCGUGAAUCUUCCGCAAUGGGCGAAAGCCUGACGGAGCGACACCGCGUGUAGGAUGAAGGCCUUCGGGUUGUAAACUACUGUCACGUUCUAGGAACUGCUCAGUGUGAAUAGCACUGAGCUCGACCAAGACGGGAGGAAGCACCGGCUAACUCUGUGCCAGCAGCCCGCGGUAAGACAGAGGGUGCAAACGUUGUUCGGAAUUACUGGGCAUAAAGCGCACGU